rnacentral:antisense_RNA from 1 species
GUCUAUGGCGGACCGUGCAAGGCGGGCUUCGGCCCGGCCGGUCUGGUAAUAGCCGGUUUUCCACCCUUGCACGGUCCGCCUCCCCU